rnacentral:rRNA from 1 species
GAUGAACGCUGGCGGCGUGCCUAAUACAUGCAAGUCGAGCGAACAGACGAGGAGCUUGCUCCUCUGACGUUAGCGGCGGACGGGUGAGUAACACGUGGAUAACCUACCUAUAAGACUGGGAUAACUUCGGGAAACCGGAGCUAAUACCGGAUAAUAUAUUGAACCGCAUGGUUCAAUAGUGAAAGACGGUUUUGCUGUCACUUAUAGAUGGAUCCGCGCCGCAUUAGCUAGUUGGUAAGGUAACGGCUUACCAAGGCAACGAUGCGUAGCCGACCUGAGAGGGUGAUCGGCCACACUAGAACUGAGACACGGUCCAGACUCCUACGGGAGGCAGCAGUAGGGAAUCUUCCGCAAUGGGCGAAAGCCUGACGGAGCAACGCCGCGUGAGUGAUGAAGGUCUUCGGAUCGUAAAACUCUGUUAUUGGGGAAGAACAAAUGUGUAAGUAACUAUGCACGUCUUGACGGUACCUAACCAGAAAGCCACGGCUAACUACGUG